rnacentral:misc_RNA from 1 species
GAUGAAGAACGUAGCGAAAUGCGAUAAGUAAUGUGAAUUGCAGAAUUCAGUGAAUCAUCGAAUCUUUGAACGCAUCUUGCGCUCCUUGGUAUUCUGAGGAGCAUGCCUGUUUGAGUGUCAUUAAAUUCUCAACUACACUGACUUUGAAUUGGUGUGGCUUGGAUUUGGGGGGGAAAAUUGUUGUGGGCUUUUUGUAUAGUCUGCUCCCCUGAAAUUGAUUAGCGGUACCUUUGUGGAACUGUCUACAGGUGUGAUAAUUAUCUACAUCCUAGACAUCUGCUGGAAUGCUGCUGUCUAAACCUUACUUGUAUUGACAAUCUUGACCUCAAAUCAGGUAGGACUACCCGCUGAACUUAAGCAUAUCAAUAAGCGGAGGA